UUAAUUUAUUCCAGUCACUGGGAAGCUUGAAGUCAACCGUAAGCACAGUGUGGUGAUGAGUGAGAACCAUCUUAAGCUGACAUCUUGGCCACCUCCCAGAUCUGGGCCUCAUGCACUCAUCCUAGGGGUGAGUGGUUUUCUGGGACUUCUGAUGACGUUCAACUUUGCAAAAACGAUGAACUCCUCCUCGGAGCAAAGCUCACGGCUCAGGUGGUAAAGGAAAAAUACCAUCUUGAAUGGCUCCUUGAAGAGCAGAAGACUCCAGUUCACUGUUACGUGAUCCUCUAGGACAGCUGUUUCCUCAGCAAUUCACAGGAAAGAUUUCACCAGCUCAUUUGUGUUCUCCAUUCCACUGUCUGCGUUCAUUGUGUUAUUUUUGAAUGCACAGUCCAGGGUUGCUUUGGCGUUAUUUACGCAACCCUUGGGGAGUCUGAUCAAAAUCCAAGUCCCUGAGGAAGACUUAAUGAUAAGGUUUAGGGGGUUCUUUUCUACUGAAGUUCAGCGCCUCUUCCCCACACUGCUUUGCUCUUGACUGAUAGUAGGCUGGUCAGUGCAAAGACAGGGAACGCAGCCAGGGUGGUCACUAAAGCCAGACUGAACUCUGUGGCAACAAAUGCCCAGCAAACAGCAAAUUGCCUGAGAGAAAGCUCUCCCACUGACAUUUAUGGGGAAUUUCUUCAUGGAUCAUCAGAUGAAAUUGUUUAGUUAAGCCCUUCCCUUCUCUUUCUUUGUUUUUUCCCUUGGUUCUGACACUUGGAAAAUGCAUCUGGAUUUUCUAAGGAUGUCACUGUUUGGGUUAUGAUAUUUGGGUCAAUGCUCACCUACUGUUUACACAGAAUAAAAGGUUCUACUUCUGGGGUAAGCAAAUUACAAAGUCCUGGAUGCAACCCAUUUGCCAAGAUACACAAUUAGAAGAGAUGGGCUUACAAGCCUAGCCUGUCCAGAAGUCCUCUUUACACCAGCUCUGGGACAUCACUCCUUUAGCUGUAGCCUGCUCCAGGAACUGCUCCUGUGGCUCAAAACAUCCAGGGUAAAGACCCUUGCUCCUUCCCCUGAGCCUUCUUCCCUGCCUAGUGCUGGCUAAUGCUGUUGUGCUACUACAAGUGCGGAAGUCAUCUGCUUCAUGCCAAGCAGUACGUUGACAGAUUUCCUUUCAGGUGCUUGAUGAACUCAUGGCUGGCUUAAAGCAUAUGGCAAGUUUUACUCUUCCUAAUUGCCAUGCCCUUCUAUAAUGAAAAGAGCGGUAGGGAAAUUACCAUUGCUCAGAUGACUCAGGAAACCAGUAAUGAGAAGUAGAAUCUCUCACUACGGUGUUACCAGAUCACAAGUGAGUUAGGUGUGUUUUCAUGACCGGAAUGAGCCAAUCCAAGUCAGAUUUUUUUGCCAAGAUAUGUAACAUUGCUUUUCUGCCCCUGCCCAUGAGUUCCCUUCCCCCCUCCUGUGCUAGCUGUAGGGCUCACACAUCUGGGAGACCAAGUGCUCGAGGCUGAUCCAGCUAAACACUCCAGUCAGCAGAAAACAGGAAAAAAGGGAAGAGUUCCCUCAUCUGAGUGCUCAACUGCACAAUCUCCAAGGUGCAGAGGUGAUGAGGUGGGAAUGAAUGAUGGAGGGCUGAGUCACCACUUGCAGAGGUAGUACUGAAUUAGAUUGCCUUAAGCCAACGAUGAAAGCAGAGAAAAAUAAAUCAACAAAACCAAUAUAUUUUUCAUCUAGGAAUUAAAAGUCUAUCCAUUUGUCAUCAUUACACUGUCUGAAGUCUUUAUAGUAAUUACUACAAACCUAAACGAUGGGACUCAUCUCUACUCAUUUAUCUAGCUAGUUUAAGCUAGUUUCUCAGAUCUGUCUGCUUCACAGAUCCCUCCAGUCAACAGAGAGAGAAGCUUCCAGAGGAGGAUGCAUCUUAUCCAAACACAGACAUUUAAGGAGUCUCAACCAUCCUCCAAAGAUGCUCUUGAGUUUAGUGAAAACUUGAGAUCUGUCUCCAGAGUAGCUGCAUUUUACAUCCCAUCUUGUUCUUGCCUGGAUCAGAAAUCCCUACACUACAGGAACCAGGCUGAACAGUGCAAGUGCUUUCCUAUUGAUAUAUUCUCAAUGAAAGCAAAGUGCUCUUCUCCAUCCCUCCUGUGCUGGGACUGCACGUGCAAGGGGCCAGAUAAUUUCUUCAGUGUGUUUUGGAUCAGGCUUGUUAGGCCAGCAGCAGGUUCACAAAGGUAGGCUCUGUGACAUCAUAGGGAUCAUCCCAAAAAGAAGCUGACAUCAUAAAUGACAAAGCACUAGACAGAAGAAAAGUGCCCAGCUUUCUGAGCUCCAUGUGGGGAAAUGAGGCAGAAGUAUAUCCUUCCAAAGAACAAUUGAUCUGGGGGAUGGGAGGAGGAGAUAUGAUUUCAUUAAUAGUUGUUAACAGCAGCUUUCCCUCCGGAAGUUUUUUCUGCUAUCUUAAGGCAAGGUCUAUGCGUGUAUAACUUAAAAGAUCUGGUAUAGAGAUUUUGAUCAUAAUGACUUAAUUAAAUGGGGUGUUUUAGGAGCUUAAUAUUACAUUGUUGCUGAUGGCUGGCUGAUUGUUUUACUUGCCUUUGAUCAACUGUGUGAGUGGAGGGUCAUCCCAAUCACCAUGGGCCUACAGUAUCUGUCAUCACCCCUCCUUCCUAUUUGUCUUGCGUGUGUAUGCAGAAGGCCUGCUUUUGAUGAACUGUGAAAAGAAAGAUGAACUGUUGUAAUGAAAACAUUCCCUCCCCAAGAUCCUCUUUAGACAACGUUCAAUUGGUUUGACCUUGUACCCCCUUGCAGAGGACGGUAAUGAUUCCUGCAGAUGGCUGGGUCAUUCCUUGGACACUUGGGAUCAAGGGAGCCAGAUUCUCCAUGCCCAUUAACUCUCCAGCUAUGUAGGCUGCAGCUGGGAAAUGCAAGAGUUGCAUGGGCUGACAUACCUGAGAUAGUUGCCAUUGAGUCAGUUGGAGUCCUCAGAUAUCCUGGGAUGCCUAUUUAUACUGAAGGGACUUCUCCUAGGUUCAUGGCACAUGCACACUCAGUGCACACCAGCUCACCAAGGAGGGCUGGACCUCCUGGGACUGCAGAGGCACAGCCUGGGGGAAACUGGUCAAGCCCGACCUUCCUUGCCCAACUGCCUGCAAGCUUGCUCAUGGCAAUAUGCACAAGCAAAAUACAUACCUGCUGGUUUAGCCCUGCUUUCCUCAUUCUUCCUCUACUUCAGAAGUUUCUUGAAAAUGCAGACUUCGUAUGUGUGGCAGUUAUAAGGCAUCCUGACACUUGGGCACAGGCCAAACACUGACCGUUUUUGCUUUGUCAUGCUUCAAUGAAGCAAGAAUGCCACUGUUUUUCUUUGAAAUGGCACAGCUACCAGCAUCUUGAUACCUACAAUAAGGAGUCUUUUGCCAGAUGCUGCUGUUUGCAGCUCAGGCUGGCGGGGUGGGCUUUUCUGCCUACCUUUGCAGCACGGGUCACAUAGGUAUGACCCAUUUGAUCAGUUUAAUCACAUUUCCUUCAAUUUCAGGUGCUUUAGAUGUUACAGCCUGAGCUGGCUUCACUUCUUUUGGCCUUUAUGGUAGACACAUAAUGGUUUAGUCACCUGAAAGACUGCAGCCUUGUCACUUGUUCAAAGUCAAGGGCUCUAUACCAGUUUGACUGGUCCACAUUGGAUAUGAGAGCAGCCAGAAUGCUUCACCUUGUGUCAGGCCUAGUGCACGCUAACUCCACAGCUUGCCUGCAGUGUGCUUAGCCUACAACUCCCCAUCAGUGUUCCUGGAAAGCAGUACUGCCAGCAGAGGUUUUCAGAUUUGUGACGUUCAUACAGGCGGAAUUCCUCCUUGGCCUUUAGAGAUGUUCUGCUUGAGCAAGAGCUGGCAGGAGUGGCAGCAGAGAAAUUGAGCACAGCAUUGCCACGCUCCAGACCUUCUGCAGACCAAGAGAUUUUGAUCGCACAUAAGGAAGAUGUUUUUACAGUAAGAGUGGUGAGGCACUGGCACAGGUUACCCAGAGAUGUGGUUGAUGCCCCAUCCCUGGAGACGCUCAGGGUCAGGGUGGACAGGGCUCUGAGCACCUGAUGGAGCUGUAGGUGUCCCUGUUCUAAAGUUACCUAAAUGUUGUUGAACAAGAGAAAAAGACAUCCCUCCAGCCAGCAUCUGAAGCAGUACAAUGAAGCUACAGCCUUGAGCUGCACUUGUCUGGCUGCUGUGUGAGUAGCAGUUGGAGGUGCGUGUGGCAACAGGCAUCAGGAGAUUACUUGCUUCAGUAACUUGGGUUGGGUGUUCAGUACCCAAAGUAAACACUCCAAUUGCAGGUUUGUGAAAAGACUUAAUAUCCUUUUCCUUUUUCCUUCUUUUUUCUUUUUUCUUUUCCAAAGAACAAUUCGGCAGCAUCUUAAAGCAUCUGUAUGACCUGUAUGUACAGCACAGAGAGUGAAACUGAACUCAGUAACUGUUUCACCAAGCAGCAACUGGAAAAGGAUAGGAGGAACAAUAAGGCAUUUAUGCAAUGCUCCAUAUGCAUCAGCCUCAGCCAUCUGGGAUCCAGGUGAUCCGUGCUCCCAAGGACAUCCCAGACACACAGAGCGUUACCCGGGGCUGACCUACGCUCACAUCAGUUGCAUUCAUGAAACAACACAACCAAAGGAGGUGUCCAUGUCUUGCUGGAAGGAAUACCCCGAGAUAUUAAAAUGACUGUUUGUCCAAAAGUAUAUAUAUAUAUUAAUCCACAGAAACAAGAUUCCAAAAGAAAACUAAACACUGAACUUGGUCAGCUGAACUAUGUGACAGUGUUCUCUGAGCACUGCCUUGAUGCCAGUGCUAGUCUAGGCAGAGGGAGAACCUUAUCCUUGGUGCAUGUCAGCAGAUCAGUCCAAGAGUUCCAUGCAUAUCCCAAGUAUUGACAGCACCAAGUAUGGAUCCUGCUUGCACAGAAAGCUCUCCAUGUUUAAUUUGAAAUUAAGAUUUUUUUCAUUCUGAUUUUUUUCAAAACAAAAAUGAUGGAGCUAAAGUUCUAUGCAACCAGAAAAUCAAUGGAAAAGAAGGCCCUUUGAAAGCUAAAAGCUUCAAAUGCACUGCUGAUCUUCAAAACUUUGCAGAUAAAAGAAAAAAUAUCCGCCCAUUUCUGGAUUUCAUUGAAAUCAGAAAUUGCAUGCUCUGCACUCCCAUAUGAAUGUCAAAUCUUGCACCUCAUCAGCAUUUAUCAUUAUUCCCACUUAAAAAUGAAUCUGUCACAGAUGAAGUGGAAGGUCGAACGAGCUCAUUGGCCCCUGGCUGGUGCGUGCUUCCCAAAGCUAAAUUCCAGAAGAGUACACAAGAGGACAAAAAGGAUGCAGAAGAGCAACAGAAAGGAGCUCAGCUCGGGGAAAGAGGAGAGCUGCUUUCUGCACGGAUGUCUGAAAUGCCUAAACCAGCCUGAUGCUCACACCAGCUGAGCCAAACUCUGGCCUCCCUGGGGAGUAGCAUCAUGGUGGCCACAGCCUGGGGAGCUCCAGUUCAAUGAUAACCAAUUGUGGGGCUGUCCUCUAGGAAAGCAUCAGUUGCUUAAUGUUCCAUUGUUAAAAAUGGAUGGGAUUAAAGAAAAGUAAGGCCUAAAAAUACAGGCUCAAUGAACUUGCUGAGAAGGCGGCUUCUUUGCUGGAUCUUAAACCCUUGCUCAUCUCACAGUGUUUGUUUCUGUGAAGGUGUGCAUGCCGUUGUUCUACACACAUCUAAUAUAUGCAUGGCAGUGUGCCUCUUGGCUUUUUCUUUUUAUUUAAUCUUUGACUUGACAGCGUUGGAACUUGCUUCUCUGUGAAACUGGAGAAGGAGGGAUUGUUGUGUGCGUCAGGAUUUGCUAUUGUUUUGUUUCUUUCCCUUUUAUUGAGUUACAUAAAGAAUCCCAGCAAUUCCUGGCUGCUCCUGAGUGCUCAGGUGUCCAUUUGUUUAUUUUUGUUGGACUCAGGUUGUACUUGGUGCAAAGACCACCACAUUGGCCACCACUGGAUGGAUGGUUUAGGACACUGAUGAGGGCAGCUGGCCCAGCAAGGAGCCUUAUUUUUACAGCAGCAGAGAAACCUGCCCUUCACUUUUGUUUGGUUGCAUUUGUAACACCCUUCAAGUGUUUUUAAUUUGGGAUUUUCUUCUAGAUGAUCUCAGGAUGAACAACUUCCCCAGAACCCUCCUCCCAUGAAACAACAAUUCAUAAAACCAGAGAAGUGCCCAGGAGCAAAAUACCCUCCAGAUAAUUGAGAGCCAGCUUUGUGAAUUUCUGCUUUGAUAACAGAAAUCAUACAAAAAACUGAGCUGGAAGAAAUUUUUAAGGUCAUCUUACCCUUCCACCAGCCUCCAGAUAGGAUCUGCUGUGCUGAAGGUGCUGGAUUUCAGAUAGUUAUCUCAGCCAUUGCUCAGACCUUCCCAUGGCAGUGUUUUCACACAGCUAAUCAUCCCAGCAAUUCAUGAGUCUCACAACUGGAAAAUGUCUCUUAACAUCUCACCUGAAUUUCCUUUGUUGCACUUUAAGCCCAUUACUUCCUUUCCUGUCCCCAGCAGACAUGAAGAGCAGUUUAUCCUUCCUCUUUGCAGUAGCCUUUCACAUACUUGAAGGGUGUUAUCACGUCUAACCGUCUUCAAUCCCCUAGACUAAACAAACCCAACUCUUUCAGUCUUUCCUCAUAGCUCAUGUUUUCUAGCCCUCUGAUCGCUCUUGUUCCUGCCUUCCUGCUGGACGCUCUCCAGUUGGUCAACAACUGUCUUGGAGCCUGAUGCUCACAAGUGGACACAGAUUGAUUCAACAGGUUAUUUCAGGUCAAAAACAGAGAAGAGUAAUUUCGAAGUGGGAGACCCUCACCAUUAAUGACCUACUUGCACCAGCUGCAGCACCUCUGUGAAACUUGGCUCUGGGUCAAACUGGCAGUCUCCCUGAGAAGUGGUAUACUCACAGAUGAAUAUCAGCAACUCGGAUUCAUCCUGGAACCUAAAAGGCAGCUGAAGCCAAAAAAAAAAAAAAAAAGACAAACAACAUCCUCUCAAUAGUCUGUUAGUAGAAAACUCAGGGACAAAUGACAAAUGGCAUUGUCCUGUUGUCACAGAACAGGGGCUUCUUCCUUUCCAUUUCCCAACGCUUAUUCUUCAGCUGAAGGAACAUGCAGGUAUGUGUAAUAUUGCACUUGCGAAAAGUCCAAAGCAAGCCCCAGGAAGACUUGUCUGUACAUUCAGCACAGUGCAAAGCCUGGAGGGAGGUGAACUCACUUUGGAAAUCACGGCAUAUUGGCUUCUAAGCAAGGAGGAUGGACUUAUUCACUGGACCAUGCUGACACAGCUCUUGAGCUCCUGGUCCUGCUGCCAGCUCUAUGGCCAGCACUGGGAUCCUUGCAGCACACUUCAUCGUAUGGUGUGGAAUUGCCCUAAGAAGCUCAUUGGGUUGUGGGAAAGGUUUUUACUCCUAGAGUCAGUUUUCAGGGCAGAAGGACUUCUGCUGUCUGGCUUUCUUGUCACAUUGCAGACUUUUUCCCUUGAAAUUGCUCUUUCCAAACUAACCUUAAUACCCCUCAAAGAGCACUUCAUUAGCCAAAAUCUUUCGCUUCUGUCAAGAGAAGACAAUGGAAGGACGUGUCAAAACAGCUAUGCUGCUACACCUCAGGCAAGGCUCAGCUCUCUUCUGGGGAACUGCUCCAUUACAUAUUGGCUAGGAUUUGUGCCAAGAUUUGUCAGUUAAUAUUUGCAAAAUUUAAUCACAACAGCCCAGAUUCUGCAUUGCUUUAAUCCCAUUGAAUUGUUCCUUAGUCCGUGGCAAGCGCCUCCUGUUUCAAUUAGACCGUUCAUGGUUAUGGGUGCUUUUGAAUAAGAAGGGAUCAAAACCUCAUUCUAGAAAUCUGGUUUCAAAAUGUCUUCAUCCAAAAGAGGACUGCAUUUCAGCUUCUGAAUUCAUAGUAUAUUAUAAAAAGGGAAGGUUUAAAUGAAUACCAUACCUGGACCAUUGUAGCAAAUGACUGUGAGGACCAGACUUGCUGAGAAGAGGAGAUGAGUGCAGCUUGGCUCUUUGCAAUGCAUCUCCCUGGAAUUUUCCUCCUUUAAAUGAAAGAGAGAUCAAACCAGAAAAAUAAGCAGGUCCUACUCCAAGAGGCAGGAUUGCCUCCUGAGUGCCAGAUAAUAAUAAACGAUGUGUUUGUAAUCCAAAGCAGAGAGACACUGGCAUUUUCUUCGACAUCAAAUGCAAAAAGGGAACAAAUAGUUCUGUAAAGUGCUUUUACAAUGCAAGGUGAAAGAUCUUUCACAAGAGAGAGAAUACUCUCUGGGGACGGCUGUUUGUAUCUUUUCAUUUUACAUCAGCGUGAAGAAUCUGGAAAAAAAGGAGAACUGUAUACGUACCUAAUAGCACAUAAUUUGAGGAAGAAAAGAGAUGAAACUACUGUUAAGAAGAGUCAAUUAAAAAAAUAUACCCAGGAAGGAGAAGAGACUGAAGGGGAAAAAGCUUGUAAGCACUUCUUUGUGCUGAGGUUUUUUAUCUCAGCCCAAAAGUUCCUUCUGAAUGGAACUGCACAGAGGGGAAAUCCCACCUCCUCCGGGAGGCAGCCACUGUGGGACCUGGCGGGUGCUCCUGGCAGCAGCAGCACGGGGCUGCCAGGGAAGCAGAGGAUCCGUGCAGCCCAGCUGGGGGAAAUUAAUUCCAGCAGAACAGAGCUGAUUCAGUUAUAAUUUGACUAGACCUCUCCUCCACAAACACCACAUGCCCUCCAGAAUGAUAUGAGAGCAGCUCCAAAAGUAAUGCCUUCUGUGUUAAUAGGUUGGCCCACAACAUUAGAGGCAGACGUUGGUGGUACAGCAGCAGAGGUUGAACCUUCCCACCAGUAUUCCAUUACAUGUUGUUGCCGUGUGACAGAUGGCAGCAGAGGAACAGUCUGACACAAUGGCAUCUGACGUGGAAGUACGUAAGAAGCAAAGGUGUGUCACUGAAUUCCUCCAUGUGGAAAAAAAUGGCACCCACUGACGUUCACCAAUGACUGCUGAAUGUUUACGGAGACCAAACAGUGGACGUGAGCACGGUGAAAGCUGGACAGUGUGGGCAACGUUUUCCUAGCAACAAUGCCAUCGUAGCAGCUGGGAAACAGUGGGUCACUUCUGCUGGUGCAGAUUUUUAUGAGCAUGUCAUGCAGGCUCUUGUUCAUUGCUGGUGAAAACACAGAGCUAAUGGUGGUGACUGUGUUGAAAAGUACUGUUUUGUAGUUAAGAAUUUGCUCUAUCAAAUACUGUUAUUGUGCUCUUUGUAUCUGUUGUGGUUUCCAUGAAAAUGAAUAGGAGGCACUACUUCUGGAGUGACCUACAUAUUUCAUGCAAUCGUAUAGUCUGGGCUCAGUCCUGUGCCCCAUCAGAAGAUUAGAGGGCAGGAUUAAACUUUGUGCAGAACAUUUUACCUCUGUGCAUCAAUUCCACCUUUUAAAAAGUGUGACGAGCUUUAUUCUCUGGUUAUUUCCUAAAGACACAGGUUGGCUCAGCAGUCCUGGCUUCCACUGGAACACCUGCUCUUUACAGGCUCUGCUGACUGAAGGACAAGGUAAUUAGGUAACUUACCCAAAGGUCACAUGAAUGUGGCAGCACGUACGCAGGGCUGGGCUGCCUCACAUUUCCUCAGCACUAUUUUGGAAAAAGAAGAAAACACAAAAGAAAGCAAACAAAGAACUCACCCCUGAAAGAGCUUUGAAAAGCCAUCGUAUCUGGAUAGGCAGGAGGGUGAAGACCAGGACUGAAAUAAACUUCCAACACCUCAUGUCUCAUCCCCAGUUGCUGGCCCUCUCACGUGCCAAGAGUUGAGACACACCGAGAGUUGAGAACCUCAGAAACAUCGCUGUUUCUAUUCCUGCAGCAGUCCCAAGCACUAGUUUGUUAUUAAUGACUCCGAACUGGCAAAAGAGUCCGGAGCAAGACAUUAUAAUCAGAGCAUCUCACACUAAGAUACCAUACUAUCCACUCUAAGAGCUUUUCGUAAACCUUGAUUAAAACUCUAAGAGGAAAGGGCAAGCUUUCUCUGUGCAUUUUUAUCAGCAAGCAAUGGUGAGUUUGCAUGUUUUGCCACCUCCUUGUCACUCACUGCAGAAGUACUCAGAGGGAACAUGACUGCCCAUCUGAACCAAAGAUUUCCCUCAGCCAACUCCCCUGCAACCACAUCCCCUCACGAGUUCUUUCAGCAAGACCCUUAGAUUCUACCACUUUGGUUCUACCAUUCAUAAACUGAUGUGCAAGCAGCUACAUCUGCUCAUCCGCCUUUGUGAAAGCACCCAUCCAUCAGCCACCUAAAAUAAGCAGCUGGAGUUACCCCUCACCUACAGCUCUGAGGACAUCACCGAGUUUGUGUAACCUUGGGUGGCUGCCUGCUCCUGGGGCAGUCCUGGCAAAUGCAGUUCUCACCUGCUCUGUGCAUUAGCAUUGUCCAUCUCAGCGGCCCAAAAGGUUGGGUGCAGGGUUAUGUAUGCCUUCUGAAAUGGGCAGUGAUCUCUUCCACGGCCACUGAGCUCAGAAAGCAUGCCCUGUACCUACAAGACCAGUCACCCACCAAAAAGUGAAAUGGCAGAAAGCACUUGUGUACAAAGCGCUCAUGGCAUUUGCACAGGGCCUUGACUGGGUGCUGGACACAUAAUACUUCUGGAGACUCUGUAAGUCAUGCACAGCCCCUGCUGUAUCACAGCCAUGUAUGGUCACUUGUGACUUGGUAAUGUCAUUAGAGGUCACCAGCACCACCAAAAAUUCUUCAGCCUGGAAUUGUUUUAUGAAAGAUCAAACCUUUCAAAAAUAAUAAAUUUUUCACUACAUCAAAGACAGUUUACUAACAUUCAAUGAAAACCUUUUCCUUAGAUUCUGGAAGAAGGAACGAGCCUCAUAAAAUAAUAAAUAUCUUUGCAUUUUAUCUCCUAUGCCUCUAUCUAUGGAGGUAUUUAUAUGGCCCCCAUAACUGGUCUCUGGGCCCUUACCUGACCUGAUUAGAGAACAGAUCUACUAAACAAAGCCAUGAUUUGUGUGCACACCAAACUGGUCUUCUUAAUAUAGCUUUCUGGAGGAGAGACAAAUUUGCUAGGGAAGUGGAGUUAAUAAGAAAUGAGUUGCUGCAACAAGUUUAUUUGUUGUAGAGGACACUGUUUGGUUGCAACACGUUUUUUUUUUUGUUGUUGCUGUUUGGUUGAUGCCAUGCAAUUUAAAGAGUUUAUCCCUUAAGGGCAGACAGAAGAGCCAAUCAAAACACCGGGGGCCUGAAACUUCACUAUACAUCUCAUCUUUUGCAAAGCAGAAGCAUUCAUAUACCUGAGUCUCGGCCCACUGGUGAAUUCCCCAUGAGUGGGGAUAUCAACAGAAGAGAUCCUACAAUCUCUUUGCAGAGAAGUAGGACAAAUGAAAGUGACCAGACCCAUGGUGCACCGCAGCUACCCUACAUGCCAGAAGAGGCAUCUCUGUCCCUUUGCCACUGCCUGGUCCAGUCCCAGCCUCGGGGCUGCCUUGUCCCUGUAGCCAUGCCCUGUUUAUGGGAAUGGGGGAUGAGUGCUGAGCCUCACUUCUACUUCAAUGGGGACUCUGCACUCUGCUGAUAGGAGGGAACAAGUUGCAACUUUCCUGAGAGCGAAAGGCCACUGCCCUUGGAAGAGCACCUGCACAAUAAGUCGUUUUGGAGGAUUGCUGGGCCAACCUGGGAUGCUGGAACUUGUAAGCUAGCAGCACCAAAAGGUAUGCCAUGCCCAAUCUCUGAAGCAAUACCACAAUCUGCACUGCUCUCCAAAGCAGCACUCUUACACUUCCAGAUGAUCUCAGACAACACCUGGGAGGCCCCAGCCACUGACUCGGAGAUGCCACUUGAAGUCAUGGAGGGGCUUAAGAGGCCAAGAGACUUUUUUUGCAGGGUUUACUUCUUGAAAUGCUUUCACCCCAUUGAAAGAUGGAAUGCCAAAACCAGGCACAAAACCUCUCAAAGAAAGCCCUUCCAGGCUCCAGCUCAGCAUGCCACCUGCCGUCAUCAUUUCUCCAACUGUUCUCAGGGGGCUCUUACAGCAGACGCAUUGGGCUGCAGCCAAGUUGGCAUGAAGUUUGCAUGAAUCUUGAGACAUUUUAUGACCUUAAUAAUGUUUAGCAGAAAUAAGCAGGGCUGUUUGCAGCUCAGGCCCAACCUAGUUAAAAGCAUUUCUUAGCAGGGUGGUGGGCACAUAAAUCAGUGUCUAUCCUCUUGCCUCUCUGUCAUUGACCUUUCUGUGGGAGGAGAAGCUGCACAGAGACAUGCGGAUUGCAGAGUACGCUCAUGUGCCAUUGUGCUGGCACCGUAUCCAUUACGAGCUUCUGCCCUUAUUCUUAGAGGACAUGUUCCAGUAAUAAUAUACCCCAGUGAACUUUUCCAUUAUGAGAUCAUGAUUUCUUCCAUGGGAGAUUCAGUAACACGUUACAAUUUACUAGCCUUUAGUUAGCCAGUAAGAAUUUUCUCACUGCAGCAAUGCAGUGCUGCACUUUUCUGAAGUGAUAAAGUCGUGUUCAACCUUUUAAACAGAGAUUCACUUCCACUUUUACACCUGUGAAAAGGAAACUUUUCUUGCAGAAAACUGAGCCUGCAUUUUCAUAUACUGCAUUUUAUACACCUGAUUUAUGCUUCCCGUCAGACAGCUCUGAAGGCCAAAUACUUGGACUGACAACCAUGAAAAAAUUGUGA